rnacentral:ncRNA from 1 species
CAGUUGCCAUAACUCCGAGCUCAUCGGGCUAAGUUCAUAGUGAAUAAGCGUGCUGAGCCAGUGACAAAUUGUCACAAGGGCAUAAUUGGAAAUGAUUAUCGCCUCCCGUGUUUGGAAAGGUGUUCCGUGGCGCAACAA